UCAAUUGUCUUAUAAUUGAAGACUGGAAUGAAUGGUUAAACGAAAUUGAAACUGUCUCAUUUUAUAUUAAUUAAAAAUUGGCUUUUAAAUGAAGAGAUUUAAAUUUAAUUAAUAGACAAGAAGACCCUAUUGAGCUUAAAAUAAUUUUAUGAAUGAUAAUUUAUUAUUGGAGAUUUAAGUUUUUAAUAUAUUUUUGGUUGGGGCGACUAAGGAACAAGUGAAGCUUCCUUUAUUUAUUAGAUUAAUAGGUUUUGAUCCAGUAUUAACUGAUUAAUAAAAAUAGUUACCAUAGGGAUAACAGCAUAAUCUUCUUGGAGAGUUCUUAUCAAAAAGAAGGGUUGUGACCUCGAUGUUGGAUUAAAAUAUCCUAAAGGUGUA
rnacentral:rRNA from 1 species